rnacentral:rRNA from 1 species
UACGUAGGGGGCAAGCGUUGUCCGGAAUCAUUGGGCGUAAAGCGCGUGUAGGCGGCCCGGUAAGUCCGCUGUGAAAGUCGGGGGCUCAACCCUCGAAUGCCGGUGGAUACUGUCGGGCUAGAGUGCGGAAGAGGCGAGUGGAAUUCCUGGUGUAGCGGUGAAAUGCGCAGAUAUCGGGAGGAACACCAAUUGCGAAGGCAGCUCGCUGGGACGUUACUGACGCUGAGACGCGAAAGCGUGGGGAGCAAACAGG